rnacentral:rRNA from 1 species
GGAAUAUUGGUCAAUGGAGGAAACUCUGAACCAGCAACGCCGCGUGAAUGAUGAAGGUCUUCGGAUUGUAAAGUUCUUUUCUAAGGGAAGAAGAUAGUGACGGUACCUUAGGAAUAAGCCUCGGCUAACUACGUGCCAGCAGCCGCGGUAAUACGUAGGAGGCAAGCGUUAUCCGGAUUUAUUGGGUUUAAAGGGUGCGUAGGCGGGCUGUUAAGUCAGCGGUCAAAUGUCGGGGCUCAACCCCGGCCUGCCGUUGAAACUGGCGGCCUCGAGUGGGCGAGAAGUAUGCGGAAUGCGUGGUGUAGCGGUGAAAUGCAUAGAUAUCACGAAGAACUCCGAUUGCGAAGGCAGCCUGCUGGACUGUAACUGACGCUGAUGCUCGAAAGUGUGGGUAUCAAACAG